UCUCGCGGACGCUGACCGGUCUUCCCUGCGUCCCGUCUGUGAACGUCGCCGCCGCCAGCCCUCCGCGCCCCCCUGCCCGGAAGUCUCGGAGAGCGGAGCUGCGGUCGAAACCUAACUGUAAGAAGCGGAGAGUGCCGGAGAAGCCGGGCCGUGGUCCGGGACGGACUCGCUUCUUCAUCUUCAAGACUCGCAAGCGCUGCGGAGAGAGAAAGACUGGCAGGCAGUGACCGGCGGGGCGGCUCUUAGGCCGAACUCCCGGUUUCUCGGGACUGGGGACUCGGACACUUCGCUCCCUUCUGUCUGGACGCUGCCUCCGGGGUGCUGGCACCGGGCCCUCCACCGUGUCCCGGGGCUGUGGACAGGACGCCUAGGCGGCUGGAGGCUGCGGAGUUUUACAGGACAGGAGCCGGGACGUAGUGUGUUAGGAGUGUGGCCUUUGACGUCAGCGCUGGGGCGAAGUCACAUCCCAGCCCUGUGACCUCUUGAAGCCUAAGUUGCCCCGUUGGUAAAGCUGGGUGGGUGGUUCCAGAUUCAGCGUCUCUUCCAGCUUGACGCAGAACUUGGGAGAUGAAUGACCCGGCGUGUAAGAUGCACCCCUGGGAUCGACAGCAGCAGCUCCCGCGGCUUCAGUUGCACACCAUCUACAGAUAAUACUUCUCCAGAUCGCGUGAAUACUGCUUGUGGAGUUUUUUUAAAUGUACAGAAGCUUACCAAAAAGCACGAGUUACUGUUUUUCCCUCAGACCCACUCCUCACAGUGUACAGUGGAGUUUUCCAGCGCCUGCAUGAUAUGUGACAUUGCAGCAGACUGAAUGCAGAAGGAGACAUGAGAAUCCAGAAGUGAAGAGGCUUGCAAAAAUGCAGAGCAAUGCCACUCUCCUCAUUAAAAUGGCUUUUGGGAGAUGCAAGAGGGAAGACAUAUGGGAACAUAUGUAUAUGUAUAACUGAUUCACUUUGUUAUAAAGCAGAAACUGACACACCAUUGUAAAGCAAUUAUACUCUAAUAAAGAUGUUAAAAAAAAAAGACCCAACACAGCCAAAAUAAAUUUAAAAAAUUUUAAAUAUAAAUAAAAUGG